UACGUAGGUGGCAAGCGUUGUCCGGAUUUAUUGGGCGUAAAGCGCGCGCAGGCGGUCCUUUAAGUCUGAUGUGAAAUCUUGCGGCUCAACCGCAAGCGGUCAUUGGAAACUGGGGGACUUGAGUACAGAAGAGGAAAGCGGAAUUCCACGUGUAGCGGUGAAAUGCAUAGAUAUGACACAGAACACCGAUUGCGAAGGCAGCUGACGAAACUGUAACUGACGCUGAGGCUCGAAAGCGUGGGGAUCAAACAGG
rnacentral:rRNA from 1 species